CAGAUAUUAGUUUAAUAAAAAUAUUAAUUUUGGAGAUUAAUGUUAAAAGAUUUAUUUUUAUAUCUGA
rnacentral:tRNA from 1 species